rnacentral:pre_miRNA from 1 species
AGGAGGAACAACCGCAGUGGGGGGGGGCAGCUCUGCAGCCCUGAAUUCAGCCCCCGCAGUAACUCCGGAGCUCUCAGUCUGCAGGGCCUGGAGGCUCCGGGGCGGG